rnacentral:lncRNA from 1 species
CUGAGGUGGUGGAGAGGUCGUUGAGGGGGAUGUGGUGGCCUUGGGCAUUUGUGAGGGGCUGAGGUCCUGGAGAGGUCACACUGAGGGGGAUGUGGUGGCCUUGGGCAUUUGUGAGGGGCUGAGGUCCUGGAGAGGUCACUCUGAGGGGGAUGUGGUGGCACUGGACACUUGUGAGGGGCUGAGGUCCUGGAGAGGUCACUCUGAGGUGGCACUGGGCACUGGUGAGGGGCUGAGGUCCUGGAGAGGUCACUCUGAGGGGAUGUGGUGGCACUGGGCACUUGUGAGGGGCUGAGGUGUGGACAGGUCACUCUGAGGGGAUGUGGUGGCCCUGGACCCUCGUGAGGGGAUGGAAGGGCUGAGGAUAAAGCCCGGCCUGAAUCAACGUGUUCUGGGCUGAAAAGAUGGAGACUGGAAAACAUCCUUGUCCUGGGAAAAAAACAAAUCCAGAGAACACAGGAGUCACCACCACUUCUGCAGAGAGACUGAAUUAAUCUCGUUUUUGAGUAGAACAAACUCUUCAGACCAAAGAAUCAGAAGCUGGAAUUCACCAGAAGAGAAGAAACACCAACAAAAUGAUAUUUUCCAAGACAUUUUCUGCUUGCAGGAGUUGAAGAGGUGCAGGGUUAAAUCCAAUUUAAAAAAAUUGGGAGUGAGUUUUUCCAGUGCAGCUGGGCCAUUUCUCCUGAGCUACCACGAGAGGGACACAGGAGGAAAGCAAAAGGAGCUGGGAGAGGAAGAACCCAAGGAAGAGCUCGAGGUUUAAUUGGGGAUAAAUAUUCCCAGAACGAGUCAAGGGGAUGUAACUCCAUGAAGGAAAAGGAGGAGAAGAUUUGGGGCAAAAUCCAGGGAUUUUGGAUGAAGAAAAUUCUCAGAAAUUAAUGGUGAGUGGCAUUAAAAGAUAGCAAAUAAUAAAAGAUAAAUAAUCAAAGAUAACA